GACGAACGCUGGCGGCGUGCCUAAUACAUGCAAGUCGAACGCUUCUUUCCUCCCGAGUGCUUGCACUCAAUUGGAAAGAGGAGUGGCGGACGGGUGAGUAACACGUGGGUAACCUACCCAUCAGAGGGGGAUAACACUUGGAAACAGGUGCUAAUACCGCAUAACAGUUUAUGCCGCAUGGCAUAAGAGUGAAAGGCGCUUUCGGGUGUCGCUGAUGGAUGGACCCGCGGUGCAUUAGCUAGUUGGUGAGGUAACGGCUCACCAAGGCCACGAUGCAUAGCCGACCUGAGAGGGUGAUCGGCCACACUGGGACUGAGACACGGCCCAGACUCCUACGGGAGGCAGCAGUAGGGAAUCUUCGGCAAUGGACUAAAGUCUGACCGAGCAACGCCGCGUGAGUGAAGAAGGUUUUCGGAUCGUAAAACUCUGUUGUUAGAGAAGAACAAGGACGUUAGUAACUGAACGUCCCCUGACGGUAUCUAACCAGAAAGCCACGGCUAACUACGU
rnacentral:rRNA from 1 species